UACGGAGGGUGCAAGCGUUAAUCGGAAUUACUGGGCGUAAAGCGCGCGUAGGCGGUUUUUUAAGUCGGAUGUGAAAGCCCCGGGCUCAACCUGGGAACUGCAUCCGAUACUGGAAGACUAGAAUGCGGGAGAGGGAGGUAGAAUUCCAUGUGUAGCAGUGAAAUGCGUUGAUAUAUGGAGGAAUACCAGUGGCGAAGGCGGCCUCCUGGCUCGACAUUGACGCUGAGGUGCGAAAGCGUGGGGAGCAAACGGG
rnacentral:rRNA from 1 species